GGAGACUGCCCACCUUGUUCAGUCCCUAUUGCAAAGGAGUGUGUUGGUGGGCAUGUAGUUCUUGGGAACAUACCUUGCGGUUCAAAAGAUAUCAGAUGUAACAAACUCUGUGGUAAAACCAGGCAGUGUGGUCUGCAUGCAUGUGGCAGAACUUGUCAUCCACCACCUUGUGAUACUUCGUCAGUAACUGAAGCAGGUUCAAGAGCUUCUUGUGGGCAGACAUGUGGUGCUCCUAGGAGAGAUUGCAGACAUACUUGCACUGCACUUUGUCAUCCUUCUGCUUCUUGUCCUGAUGUGAGAUGUGAGUUCCCUGUUACAAUUACUUGCUCCUGUGGCAGGAUAACAGCACCUGUUCCUUGUGAUGCUGGAGGGAGCAACAGUGGUUUUAAUGCUGAUACCGUUUUCGAAGCAUCCAUUGUCCAAAAGUUGCCAGUACCACUUCAACCAGUGGAAUCAAUAGGCAGGAG
rnacentral:misc_RNA from 1 species